rnacentral:rRNA from 1 species
AUUGAACGCUGGCGGCAGGCCUAACACAUGCAAGUCGAACGAGUGGCGGACGGGUGAGUAAUGUCUGGGAAACUGCCCGAUGGAGGGGGAUAACUACUGGAAACGGUAGCUAAUACCGCAUACCAUCGGAUGUGCCCAGAUGGGAUUAGCUAGUAGGUGGGGUAACGGCUCACCUAGGCGACGAUCCCUAGCUGGUCUGAGAGGAGGACAAGCCACACUGGAACUGAGACACGGCCCGAACUCCGACGGGAGGAAGCGUUGGGGAAUAUUGCAAAAUGGGCGCAAGCCGGAUGCAGACAGGCCGCGGGUAUGAAGAGGGCUUUCGGGUGGUAAAGUACUUGCAGCGGGGAGGCGGUACUCGCAGAAGAAGCACCGGCUAACUCCGUGCCAGCAGCCGCGGUAAUAC